GACGAACGCUGGCGGCGCGCUUAACACAUGCAAGUCGAACGGAAAGGCCUGCUUUCCCUUGUGGAUUGCGGGUACUCGAGUGGCGAACGGGUGAGUAACACGUGAGUGAUCUGCCCCCAACUUGGGUAUAAGCCUGGGAAACUGGGUCUAAUUCCCGAUAGGACUGCAGGGUGGUGCCUGUGGUGGAAAACGAUUUUCUAGUGGUUGGGGAUGAGCUCGCGGCCUAUCAGCUUGUUGGUGGGGUAAUGGCCUACCAAGGCGGCGACGGGUAGCCGGCCUGAGAGGGUGGACGGCCACAUUGGGACUGAGAUACGGCCCAGACUCCUACGGGAGGCAGCAGUGGGGAAUAUUGCACCAUGGGCGGAAGCCUGAUGCAGCGACGCCGCGUGGGGGAUGACGGCCUUCGGGUUGUAAACUCCUUUCGACCGCGAGGAAGCCACCUGGUUGGAAGGGUGGUGACGGUAGUGGUAGAAGAAGCACCGGCUCACUACGUG
rnacentral:rRNA from 1 species